UAUAGUAAAUUCCGUUAUAUUUUUUGUUACCAUGAACAGAUGGAGUAUAUAUAUCUUGCUUCUAGCGAAUUCAUUGAUGAGUUCAUCGAACCUAUACUGGAUCAGAUUGUGGGGGUAAUGCUACUAUUGAUAUGCUUUGAGUUUGAGUAAUUAUUAUCAGUGUUAUCGUGUAAUACAUGCUUAUGUGAGUGGUUGCUGCUGUGAGUGUGAGUGUAUUUCUAUAUAUUUAAAUCUGAGAUUAUGAUUCUAGAAAUAUUGUAUUAAAAGAAGGUAGGUGACUCUAAUGUUAGAAAAUUACAUAUGAUUUGAUUGAAUUAGCUUUUUUGCUUUUGGAAUUGCUUUAAGUUGCUCAAGGAAUGAUCCCGCAUAGGCUCACUCAUUAUAAUCUAUAUAUUCUAUCAAAGUGUUAGUUUUUGCGUGAAUUAAAGAGAAAGAGUGCUGGAAAUUUCAUUUUAUUUACUUUUCCAUGUCGUGGAUAAAUGAGAGCCGAGUUUUUGCGUGAAUUAAAGAGAAAGAGUGCUGGAAAUUUCAUUUUAUUUAUUUUUCCAUGUCGUGGAUAAAUGAGAGCCGAAACAAUGUUGAGUCUCUUCACAAUAAAAGUAAUUUUCGUACAUCUUUUCCUUCAGCUUUAUGAUACGCAAUGCACAUAGUCCUUAGUCCCUACACCUGCCCCUUUAUUAAUUAUUGGUUGAGAAACUUGUGGGCCUUAAAUGAUCGCAUAUAUACUUUUUUCCUUCAUUAUCACCCUUUCGCACUAAGUAUCACAAUCGUAUAUUAAGGCAACAAAUAUAAUAAAUAAAAUAAAAUAAAACCAUUAAAAGAAAUUGUAACCGCUACCAUCAAUAAAAACCUGUCUUGGUUUGGUUGGAAGAAUUUCCGUAAAAAUACAGAUGGCAUUUGAUUUGAAUUUGAAAUGUUAAUUAAGGAAACUAAUAAACAAGGAAAUACAAAUCCUCAAAUAAAUAAAUAAAUAAGGAAACACAAAUGACCAUAUAUACAUAGGCCGGCCCGGGCCCUUGGACAUGACACCAUAACCCUCCAAUAAUUUCAAUUUUUAUUAUCGUUCCCAAAACACCCUUCCAAACUUUUCCAGCGUUAAUAGUCAUGAAGAUAAUUUAUUAAUUUAAUCAAACAAUAAAGAUAAUUAUGUCAUUUUAUAUUUUUGGGUCAAGUCAAGUGAGGCAUUUUCUUCCAUCCUGAUCAUCUGCCAUGCAAACAUCUGGGUAAACUUUCUUCCAUCUUAUAACAUCAGGGCUUCUUCUCUGAUUCUUAUGGUCAUUCAUUCAUUUCUCUAAUCUCUUUUUCCUCUUACAUGUUUUUUUUUUAAGAUUUUUUUUUAUCAUAUGAUGUGGCAGAAAUUAUCCUGUUUAAAAAAUCUUUAUCCUAAAUUUGAUAUGUUACGUUGUUACUUAACCGUAAACAAAUGAUCAAUUUUACAUGAAAAUAGUAAAAUGACCAGAAAAAUCAGGAGAAUGUAUUAUUAAUGCCUUUGUGUUAUAUAUAUAAAAUUGAAUUUCAUAUGAUGAGAGGCCAAAAUCACCCUGUUUACAAAUCUUUAUCUUCAAUUUGAAUUGUUUGACUUAAAAACUAGAACUAUCAAAUAAGAGUCAGCAUUAGAACAAAAGUUAAAUAUAACAUUCCAUUCCCUUCUUUACAAGGUGGAUAUGAUUUUAAGGUCACAUGUAUUUAGAGGCAAAAUUAGGACUUCUUGCAAGCUGGUGGUUAGACUAUUUUUUUUAAGUUAAAAAAAGAAAAAGAAUCUUAAAGUAAAACUAUUGAAUUAAACCACAACAAUAAGUUCACAUUUUUUAGGUUUGAAAAAUAUUUUUUGAAUUAUGUUUAUUUCAAAAAAAUCAAAUUUCAAAAUUAUGACUACGAUACCCCAUGAUUGCCAUACUCCACAACCUGGCACCGUUAGAUGGUUCUAAAUUAUUGACUUUAAUUAUUUUUUUUAAUUGUCUAAUGAUACUUAGGUGUCGUUUAUUUUUUUUAUCUGAAAUCUGAAUAGACCUGAAUUAGUCUGAAGUCUGAAUAGAUCUGAAUGUCUGAAUCUGAAUAAUAUGUUUGUUUUUUCGUCUGAAUCUCGAAAAAUAAGUAUUAAGUUGUUUGUUUUUUUCAACUGAAAAAGCUGAAAAUAUGUACUUUUACAUUUGUAUCCUUAUUAAAUUUGAAUGUCAAAUAAAUAAUAUAUUAAAUACCACAAUAUUUUAACAUUUAUAAGUAAAAUUAUAUUCAAGUAAAUACAUAAUUAUUUUAGAAUUUUAAUAUAUAAAAUACCAUAAAUUUCAAAUUUUAUCGUAUAUAAUAUAAGAAAAAAAAACAGGGAUAUUUUUAUGUGGGGUAAAUGUCUAUGGGUGAGUUUUGGGAUAGACAUGAAAAAUAAAUUAUAAAACAUGGAUAUUUUUGACAUUAGUAAGUAAUUGACUUAAUUCAAAUUUAUCCAUUAAGUAAAAAGCCAAAAAAAUUGGCUUAUUUUAUUAAGUCAAAAUUAUCUAAAAAGUCUCAUUAAGUUAUAAAAACAAACACCUCUAAUUAACUUAAUUAAUUAAGUUAAGUCACUUUAAGUUAUUAAGUUAAAAAACAAACACCACCUUAGUCUGGGGAGUACGAUACCCUUAGAAAUCAUAGAUAGACACUUUACACAAUUUAAAGCUAAAUGAGUAAUAAAUAUCUUGUCAUAAUUAGUUUACUUGAGACCAAAAAUAGAUUUCUAAAACAAGAUGGAGUGGGAAAGAAUUUGGGAAAAAUGACCGUGACCAAAUUUUAAAACAACUUGAGUGAUAAACUUGUAAAUUAUGCUGUGGUAUUUCGUAAAAAAAUAACAGUGAUAGCUAGUUUUAUAAAUACUAGUAAUUUUGUGAACAACAUAGUAAAAAAAAAAACUAAAUAAUAAUAAUAAUAAUAGUAAUUAUUAUUAUUAUUAUUAUUAUUAUUAUUAUUAUUAUUUUGACGUAUCUUGCUUAUUUGGAAGUCAACAUAAAUUGUAUAUUUGCAAGGACAAGAAACUGUGAUUUAGAAAUUCGAGGAGGCACUGUCAAAUUUCGACACUCUAAAGAAGCUGGGAGCAUCCAUUCUCCAUGGAGUUGAUGCAACUGAAAUGAAGGAACAUCCUGAAUUGAGCAAGCGGAAAUUUGAUAGAAUAAUCUUCAACUUCCCUCAUGCUGGCUUUCAUGGAAGGGAAGACGACGACGAAUUUUUCAAUGAGCUACCUAGUAAGUCCAAUGGACAUAUGUGUCAAUAUAGUGAGUUAAAAAUGGUUAUAUAUAAUAAGAGGGAACUUGAUAUAUAAAGGGAUCCAUAUGAAGAAACGAGUGUUUUUCAUUUCUUAAGUAAAAUGUUAUACAUUGAGCAUAUUUAUAGAUGCAGAUAUUACAAUUUUUCAAAAAUUAGAUACACGUAUUACGAAAGGAUCUCACCAACCGCGUCGUUGCCGUUUGGUGCGGAUCGUGUCUUUGACAACUUCAAUUCGAUGUCGUUUUAUUGACAUUCUCAACACUCCCUGUAAUACCCCAAAUCGCCUGAGGGUAUUUAAAUAUUUUUAAUUUUUAGUGAUCAUUUUAACCCUAUGUCUUUCCCAUUAUAAGAGAGGGAGGGGGAGAGAGAGAUCGAUUGAGGAAAAAAAUGACAGAAGAGAGAGAGAGAGAGAGAGAGAUGGAGAGAAACUAGAGAAAAGAAAAGAAAAAGAGAAGAAGAAUUAUUCUUAGUUCUGCCAUAGGCGACACAUGGGAUCAAGUUGUGUUGUUUGAAUUGGAUAUUGUUGGGAGAACUUUUGGAGGUAAGUUUUAAUUCUUGGUUUUCUUUAUUAAUUCGUUAUGGAGAAACAUGAUUAGAUAUUUGCAAUAGAAGUAGAAACCUAAGAUUUUACAGGAAAUAUGCUGACAAUGCAUUAUUACGCAAAUCAUAAUAAUUUGUACAAAUUGAUUUUCAUUCUGAUUUUUGGAUAUGUUAAGUUAGACAUCUUAUAGAAUGUUUUGAAACUUGUUUCAAGUUAAUCGGAUAAGAUUUCAUUUAGUUACGAUUUUUCAAACUUAGGUCUAAAAGCCUAGAAAUUUCUGAUUUCAGUGAAUAACAUGAAUUACGAAAUUAUUUUUACCAUAGCUAGACUUCUUCAAAAAUUAUGAAAUUUGGAUCAGUGAUUUUUAUAUAUGUCUAAUAUGAUUCUAUAUGUUUUUAUGAUUUUAUGAUAAAACAAUAAAUUGUUUUGUAUUUUUAAACAAGUAUGUUCAAAACAGAAAACUGUUUGAUAGUAUUGAUGAUGUCUGAAAUGCCAAUUAUUUUCGAUAGUUUUUGAAGGAAUUUAGUUAUGAAUUUUUUAUCAAAGAAUUUUCAAUAUGUCAGAAUAUGGUCUAUAAAAUUUGAGAUUUUUCCAAUGAGAGAAUAAUUUAUUAAAAAUAGAAAACAAGGACUGUUUCAUUUUGAGGGUCGAACAUUGAGGACAUUUGAGGUUGAAUUUAGGAGCUAUUUAAAAUGAGAUAUUUGAGGACAUUAAAGUUUAUGAUUGAGACUUGAUUAUAUCUUAUGGAAAUUUUAUUGAUAAUUUUAGGUCGACGAUAUCAGUACGCAUUUGUUACAUGAUGAUGCCAAGAAGUAAGUAAACUAGACUUCAAAACAAAUCACAAUAAACAAUAUGUAUAUGUUUGACUUAUUUGAAAAGUCUAUUUUUGAUAUUUACAUAUGUAGAUUUAUAUGUUUCUGCCCAUGUGUUUAUGUGAUGUAUUGCUAUGUGUUGAGCGUGAUUAUGUACAUGGGUAUAUGUAUGUGUGAAAUUUAAUUGGCAUAAGCACGAAAAUGCAUUGAGUUUUCUAUGAAUGAGAAAAUGGAUAUUAACAAAUGAAAUUUCUACUUUAUGAGAUUUUGCAUUGGGGGUCACCUAUUGAAGCUGUGUGGGGCCACCUCUUGAGACUAUGUGGGGGCCAACUCUCGAGAGUCGACGUGCCGCGAAGUGCCACGCAUGGUGUAAAGUGCCAUGUAUAGCACAAAGUGCCACAUUGUAGGAUACAUAUUUUAUUGAAAGAAAAUGUGGAAGUUUGAAAGGGACAUAAAGAGAUUUUGAUAAGUUUGUUUCAAGUAUUUUGAAAAUAUCAUGACAUAUCAUCCAUGUGUGCAUUAUUUAUAAGUAUGUAUAUAUUUUGGUAUAAGAAAAACUAAUUUGCUUAUUGAGUUUUGUACUCAUUAUAGUUUAUUAUGAUUUAGUUUCCAGAAGUCAUGAUUGAUUCGUGAUGAGUGAGAAGUGGCUUUUGUAUUUGAGGCUUGAAUUAUUAUCGGCUGUAAAAAGUUAUUUAAAUUCAUAUGUGAGUCGUGGUCAGAUUUGCCCUUGGACUGGGGUGUUACACUCUCCCUCAAGCUAAUGCAUAGAUGUCUUGCAUACCCAGCUUGUCUAGGAAUUUUGUAAAUGAUUGGCUAGAAAUGACCUUUGUUAAAAUAUCUGUAAGUUGAUCUUUUGACUGAAUUUUCAACAAUUCUAAGAUUUUUCAUCUAAUUUCUCCUUAAUUAAAAAUCUAUCUACUUGACGUGUUUUGUUUGAUCGUGCUGAACUAGGGUAUGAGCAAUAUCUCAUGUAGCUUUGUUGUCACAGUAUAAUUGUAUUGGUUGUUGCUAUUAAUAGCCCAAAUAUUUUAAGAUACAGCUUAACCAUAACCCUUCACAUACCCCAAGGGCCACGCCUUGAUAUUCUACUUCAGUGCUCGAACGGGCAAUGACAUGUUGUUUGUUGCUUCUCCAUGUGAUAAGGUUGCCUCCCACAAAGGUAAAAGAGCCUGAGGUAGAAUGUUUAUCACUAGUUGACCCAGCCCAAUCUACAUUAGUAUAAACUUCUAUGCUGUUGCAAUCUUUAUUUUUGGAAAAUAUGAUUCCUUUUCCUAGAUUUGACUUCAGGUACCUCAGGAUCAGCAUGAUUGCUUUCAUAUGAUGUUCUCCGGGAUUGUGCAUGAACUGACUUACAACACUCAUUGCAUAAGCAAGAUCUGGCCUUGUGUGAGACAAGUACAUCAAUCUUCCAAUCAGCCUUUGAUAUCUUCCUUUGUCUACUGAAACUUGGUCUAAGGUAAUACAUAACUCCAGUCCUUCUUCUAUUGGGGUGUAAAUAGGCUGACAAGCUGUCAUUCGCAUUUCGUGCAAUAGAUCUGAGGCAUAUUUCCUUUGAGAUAAGAAGAUUCCUUCCUUAGAUCGAGAAACCUCGAUUCCACAAAAGUAUUUUAAGGCUCCUAAAUCCUUCAUCUCAAACUCUCUCGACAAAUACUUCUAAAGAGCUUCUCUUUCUUCCUCAUCGUUGCUUGUAACUACCAUGUCAUCCACAUAGAUGAUAAGGGCAGUGAUUUUACAUUGUCGUUUUUUAAUGAACAAGGUAUGAUUUGCCAAAAAACCUCAAAGACUUUUUGAAUUUCCCAAACCAUGCUCUUGGGGAUUGCUUCAACCCGUAUAAUGAUUUCUUCAAUUUACAUACUUUUUGAUUGAGUCAUUCUAGUCUACUGCAUCCUGGUGGAAAAUCCAUAUAAAUUUCUUCAGUCAGGUUGAUUAGUGUUAAAAAUUAUAUGUUUAUUAAGGGGUAAAAAUGUUAUUUUGUGAUAUUAAUGUAAUUUAUAUUUGUAAUUGUGUAACAUAUUGUGAAUUUCUAAUUAUUUUUUCUAAAUAUUUGAUUUUGUGUAUUUUUGUGUGUUUAUUAGGUAAAAAUAAUAAUUUCAUGCAAUUUGAGGCUUCAAACAAAUGUACGGAUGUCAAAUUUGGAUUCUGGACGUCCGAGAAAUUAUGUCAUUGUCGAGGAGGAUGCGAGACUUUUGUUGUAAAUUUUUAAGUUUUUACCAUGGUAAAUAUGGUAAUUGUAAAAUUAUAAGUUUUUAUCAUGUUAGGUAUGCUAAUUGUUAGUGGAAUGUGUUGGAUAUGCUUGAAUGGAUUAAGUUAGGUUUAUGUUUUAUUAGUGAGAUAAAUGUAAGGUUAAGAUGUAAUUAGAUUUAUUUAUUUGUGUGGUAUAGAUUUGCCAUGUAUUAGUAUAAAUAGAGAGGGGGUAACACACCUCUUCACACCUUCUCUUCUCUUCUUUCCCCCCAAAUUCUUCUUCUCAUCUCUCUUUGUAAUAUAUUUUCAAUCAUUAAAGUUAGUUUUAUUUUAAUUUUCAAAAUCCAUUUUUUAAUUAUGUGUUUUUCAAUUUUAAUAAUUCCCUUUAUUUCAAAAAAUGUUUAGCUAAAUAUUAGUAGUUAGGGGAAGGUGAAACUCUUAGUAAAAAUAUGGUUUAACCAAAUUCUAUUUUUAAUUUUAUAAAUUAAAUUGUUUUCUAUUUAAUUUUAUCCAUAUUUUAUGUUUUGAAAUUUUGAUUUAUUGUAAACAAACAUGGGAGUUUGGCACAAUGAAUUCUUAAUAUCUUAGUAUAAAGUAUGGUAAAAUGGUAUUUUGAUUUAUUGUAGACAAAUUAAGUUUUGGCACAUUAAGUUCUUAAUCCAUAAUAAAAUAAAUAGGAAAAUAAUUUUAAUUUAUACAAUUAAUCUUUUGGGAAAUAAAACAAAAAUAAAAAGAAUUUGUUAAAUUGUAUUUAUUACUAAAAGUUGAUCCAUAACCCUAACUAAUUCAAUUUCAUAGUUUUUUCUAAAAUUAAAUUUCAUAUUUUUAAUUUUAAUUUUAAGUUUUUAACUUAAAUAAACAAAUAAAAUCAUUUCUUUAUGGAUCGACCUCGGACUCACCGAGUUAUAAUAUAACAAGACACUUUUAUACUUGAGAGUUAGAAUUCACUUCUAAUUCAUGUCACAGGUCCCCAUGGAGGAAAACAGUCUUUACAUCGAACUGUUACACUAGCCAAUCCAAGUUUACUGAUAAUGAUAAUAAGAUACGAACUAUAUUAAUUUUUGCUACCGGUGCAAAUGUAUCGGUAUAAUCUAUCCCGUAGGUUUGGGUGUAACCCUUAGCUACGAGCCGUACUUUGUAUCGUUCAAUGGAGCCAUCUGCCUUGUACUUUAUAGUGUAGAUCCAUCGGCAACCCAUUGGUUUCUUUCCUGGUGGAAGCUAGUUCCCAUGUUUGAUUUUUCUGAAGCGAUCUCAUUUCGUCAUUCAUAACCGUUUUUCACUUUGGAUCUUUUAAGGCUUCAUGCACACUGUUAGGAAUAAAUAAAGUAGAUAAUUCAUUCACAAAUAACUUAUUUGAUUCUGACAAGCGAUGAUUAGAUACAAAAUGACUCAUAGGGUAUUUGACUCUACUAGAGAUGUCAUGCUCAUAUGUGGGUUUAGGGAUACCUCUAUUUUGACGCUAGGAAAGUAUUCUUCUAAUUAGACUGAGAUUUUUGGUAGGAACAUCCUCAGGAGAUGAUUGGUUAUGUAUUUCUUCAUGUGCUUCUUCUUGGGAUUCGUUCUCUAUUGUGGUUGUGUCUGAGUUAUUUUGCUCCCUAAAUGUGUCUUCACUUAUCUCAGCUUGAGAAUCAUCACCAUUUCCUUUUUCAGUAUCUUGAAGGUUUACUACCUCAAUAGAGGAUUGAUCUUUUUCAAGUGGAAGAUAUUUAAGAGUAUGAAUUUCCUCUUCAUUAUACUCCCCCUAAAAUUCAGGCUCCGAUGGGUAGUACAUGAUAUUUUCGUGAAAGACGACGUCCAUAGUGAAUUUCCUCUUCAUUACCAGUAGGUAUGGCUGCUGAAAAAGAAGAGAAAAGAGAAAUGAGUUUUACAGAAAAAGAUGAAGAAUAAGAUAAAUGGAUAAUGCAUUAUUCAUUAAAGCAUCAAAUACUGUUAUUGCGUGAAAGAGAUUUCUCUUUUUCUUUUGUUUAUCGCAGAAAUUUGGCUUUGCUUCUAACAUCUGGGCUUCUUCUCUUAAUUCUUAUGGUAAUUCGUUCAUUUCACUAAUGCUUUUUCUUCUCUUAUAUCUUUUUUUUUAGAUUUUCUUUUGAUCAUAUGAUGUGGCAAAAAAUACCUUGUUUAUAAAUCUUUAUCCUCAAUUUGAUAUGUUAAAUUGUCACUUAAUUUGAUGUGUAACAGUAAAGAAAUGAUCAAUUUUAUUGGAAAAUAGUAAAAUGACUAGGAAAACCAAGAAAACGUAUUAAUGCCUUUGUUUUUUUUCUUUUAAUAAUUGGAUUUCAUAUGAUGGGAGGCCAAAAUGACCCUGUUUACAAAUCUUUAUCUUCAAUUUGAACUGUUUUACUUCAAAACUGGAAUUAUUAAAUAAGAGUCAGUAUUAGUACAAAAGUUAAAUAUAAUAGCUUGGUCCCUUCUUUAUUAGGUGGAUAUGAUUUCAAGGUCACAUAUAUUUAGGGGCGAAGUUAGGAACCUUUUUCUAGCUAGUGGUUAGACUAAUAUUUUUUAAGUUUAAAAAAAAAAAGAUCUUAAAGUAAAGCUAUUGAAUUAAACCAUAACAAUAAGUUCACAUUUUUUAGGUUUUAAAAAUAUUUUGUGAAUUAUGUUUAUUUAAAAAUAAAAAUUAUUAAUCUGGAUGGUUCUAGAUUAUUGACUUUUAAUUAUUUUUAAUUAUCUAAUAAUGCUUAGUCUCCAGAGUACCCUUAUAAAUCAUAAAUAGACACUUUAAAGAAUUAAAAGCUAAAUGAGUGAUAAAUAUCUUGUUAUAAUUAGUUUACUUGAGGGCAAAAAUAGAUUUUUAAAAUAAGAUGGAGGGGGGAAGAAGUUGGGAAAAAUGACCGUGACCAAAUUUUAAGAAUGGCUUGAGUGAUAAACUGGUAAAUUAUGCUGUGGUGUUUUGUAAAAAAUAAUGUGGUGUUUUGUAAAAAAUAACAGUGGUAGCUAGUUUUAUAAAUUCUGCAUGGUAAUUUUGUGGACAACAUAGAAAAAAAAUAAAAACUAAAAAACUAAAUUAUUAUUAUUAUUAUUUUGACGUAUCUUGCUUAUUUGGAAGUCAACAUAAAUUGUAUAUUUGGAUGGACUAGAAACUGUGGUUCAGAAAUUCAAGGAGGAACGAUCAAAUUUGGACACCCUAAAGAAGCUGGGAGCAUCCAUUCUCCAUGGGGUUGAUGCAACUGAAAUGAAGGAACAUCCUGAAUUGAGCAAGCGGAAGUUUGAUAGAAUAAUCUUCAACUUCCUCGGCCCAUGCUGGCUUUCAUGGAAAGGAAGACGCGACGAAGUUAUUCGGUGAGCUGCCUAGUGAGUCCAAUGGACAUGUGUCACUAGAGUGAGUUACAAUGUUUGUAUAUAAUACGAGGGAGCUUGAUAAAUAAAGUGAUCCAUAUUUCUUAAUAAUUCGAGAUGCAUGUAGUGUUCAGGAGUUUGCUGGGAUAUUUCCACUUCACCAAUUCUUAAAAAGUUGGCUCCUACACCUAUUCCAUGAUCUUUCUUCCGGUAAUUUUCACAGAAUGCAUAUGAGCCUUGUGGAAGGAUUCUUCAGAAAUGCAAGUAGUAUGCUAAGGACUGAUAGUGAAGUUCAUGUAAGCCACAAAACAACAGCUCCAUUUUUCAAAUGGCAUAUCAAGGAACUCGAUAGCAAACACUCUUUUGGCAAGACUUCACUGUGUCCAAUUUGGAAAAAAUAGACAUCCCAGGUCACAACAACAAGAAAGGAGCUGGUUCGCAAUGCGAUGACCAUUUUCCCUUGAGAAAGUGCAGUACGUUCAAAUUUGGAUUCUAUCGUGCUCGCAAGAGGUCUAAAGUAAUGAGUUAUAGUGGAUUUGCUAUCAAAAGACCUAAGGCUAUUCAAGAGAUUCCAAUCCAAGCGCAGAAGCGUGAAACGGAUCCAUUUGACUGGAGAUAUACUAAUGCAAGGUCAGCUACUGAUGUGAAUGAAUUUACAUUGUGUGUGAAGUUUGAUGAUAGCUGGGUGGGUUACUCUGUUCCAAGCUUCGCCAGAAAUAUGACUGAUCGUCCAGGAUAUAAGAGACAAGCUUUGAUGAGUAAUGCUACGUCCCAUAAUGGCUGCUUUAAUACUCCCAACACGACGCUUGGAACAGUUGCUGACGACUUUCGCUAUCUUGUUCCCGAAUCACCAAUUCCAUAUGAAAGAUAUAACACGGAAGUAGCAGGAUUCCAAAGAGAAAUGCUAGGAGUUAUGAUAAAGCAGUGCGACCAGGAAGAACCUAAAAACGGAUUUUUGUAUCCUAUGGUGGGACGUCACUGUGAGGGAACUUUGAGACCAGCACAGCCGCCAAGGAUGAGAUUGGGAUUUAGUCACCAGCUGCUUUAAAGGAGAAGUGGUGCUAUUAUGCUUUCGUGGAAGAUUGAGCGACUUUUUGUCUUUAGUCGUGAAUUCUAUCUAGUUAAGCAUAUAUAGGUAUCGUAGUGCUGGUAAAAAGUUUUGAUUUGCUUUCAUUUGUGUUUGUUUUAACAAUUAAGAAUUUCAGCAAUCUGUUAGUGUGUUGCAUGGUGUUGUCAAUCUCCCAUUUGCAAAGAACUCGAUCUGUUUCCUGUUGAUAGAACUAAAUUUAGCUUAACAAUAUCGAUGAACUCAUCAAUGCAUUCACCACAAGGAAGAUACUCCUCCAUCGGUCAAUUAAGACAUGCAAAUUAUAGUAAUGCUACAAUUAAUAUACUUUUAUCAGUGUUAUUAUGUAAUAUAUGCUUAUGUGAGUGGUUGCUGCUGUGAGUUAAUGUAAUCUUUGUAUAUCUAAGACAAUAAUUUUAGAAUUGUUGUAAUUCUAUUGUCAUCAUAUCGUAAUCAGGUUUUAAUUAAAAAAAAAAAAAAAUUGUGUCCCAAUGUGAUUACCACUGCUGUAUGUUAACUUAUGCGGAAUGAUGCAUGCCUUAUUUAUGUUUGAGUUUUCAAAUUAUUUUAAUCAAACAUGUGCAGUUGAUAAGAAUUGUCCUUAGUUUUAGAUUCGAUAUACUAGCAAUCAUCAAGUAAUUGAUUAUCACAUAUAUUUUGGAAGUAGGAUCUAGUACAAUUGAUAAAUAGGCCAAUCCCAAACACGUACUAAGGAGUUGUUUGUUUUUUGUUUAAAGUCUAAAUUUUACUUAUUUUCAGACAUUUAUUGUUUUUAAUUUAUUAGUUUUCUAUCACUUAUGUUUGGUUAUAAGAUGUUUAUGUCUGAAUUAAAAAACUUAAAUAUUUUAACUUUUAUCUAAAUGACAAAAUAUCUAAAUAUAACUUUAAUAUUCUAUCACUUAUGUCACUGUCAGGACACUUUGAAAUUAGCAUAGUUGCCAAGGAUAAGGUUGGGUUUUAGCUGCCAGCUUUUAGGGAGAAGUGGUGGUGUAGUACCCCAAUUCUCCUAAGGAUAUUUACGUCUUUUUAAUUUUUAAUGAUCUUUUUUAUCUUAGUAUAAAUAGAAUAAGAUGUCUUUUCCAUUAUAAGAGAGAGAGAGAGAGAGAGAGAGAUGGAGAGAAAAGAGAGAGAAUAAAAGAAAAAGAAAAGAAGAAAGUCUUUUUCUUUGUUCUGUCAUAGGCAACACAUGGGAUCAAGUUGUUAUUGUUGGGAGAAGUUUUGGAGGUAAGUUUUAAUUAUUGGUUUCUAUUAAAUUGUUGUGGAGAAGCAUGAUUGCAAUAGAAGUAGAAACCUAAGAUUUUGCAGAAAUAUGCUGAUAGUGAAUUAUUACGAAAAUCAUAGUAAUUUGUCCAAAUUGAUUUUGAUUCUGAUUUUUGGAUAUGUAAAACUAGGCAUCGUCUAGAAUGUUUUGAAACUUGUUUCAAGUUAAUCGGAUAAGAUUUCAAUUAAUUAUGAUUUUUCAAAUUCAAGUCUGAAAACCUGGAAAUUUAUGAUUUCAGUGAAUAACAUGAAAUACGAAAUUAUUUUUACCAUAGCCAGACUUCUUCAAAAAUUAUGAAAUUUGGACCAAUGAUUUUUAUAAAUGUCUAGUAUGAUUCUGUAAAUUUUCAUGAUUUUAUGAUAAAGCAAUAAAUUGUUUUGUAUUUUUAAAGCAAGUGUGUUCAAAACAGAAAACUGUUUGACAGUAUUGAUGAUGUCUGAAACGUCAAUUAUUUUCAAUAGUUUUUGAAGGAAUUAAGUUAUGAAAUUUUUAUCAAUGAACUUUCAAUGUGUCAGCAUAUGGUCUGUAAAAUUUGAGAUUCUUCCAAUAAGGGAAUAAUUUAUUAAAACUCGGAGAAUAUGGACUGUUAUGUUUUGAGGGCCGAUUAUUGAGGACAUUGAGGUUGGGCUUAGGAGAUGUUUAAAUUGAGAUAUUUGAGGACAUUAGAGUUUAUGAUUGAGACUUGAUUAUAUCUUAUACGAUAUUUAUUGAUGAUUUUAGGUUGAUGAUAUCAGUACGCAUUUGUUGCAUGAGGAUGCCAAGAGGUAAGUAAACUAGACUUUAAAAACGAAUCACAAUAAACAAUAUAUAUGUUUGACUUGUAUGAGAAGCCUAUUUUGAUAUGUACGAAUAUAGAUUUAUAUGUCUCUGCUCAUGUGUUUAUGUGAUGUUUUGUUAUGUAUUGGGCGUGAUUAUGUACAUGGGCAUAUGUAUGUGUGAUGGUCCAUUGGCAUGAACAUGAAAAUGCAUUGCGUUUUCUAUGAAUGAGAAAGUGGAUUUUAGCAAAUGAGAUUUUUGUUUUAUGAGAUUUUGCAUUGGGGGCCAGCUCUUGAAGUUGUGUGGGGACCACCUCUUGAGACUAUGCAGGGGUCAUCUCUUGAGGGCCACAGCGCCGCAAAGUGCCACGCAUGGUGCAAAGUGUCACUCACAGCACAAAGUGCCACAAUGGCAGAAUAUGUAUUUCAUUGAAAAAAAAAUGAGAAAGUUUAAAAGCGACAGAAAGAUAUUUUUAUGAAUUUGUUUUACAGUAUUUCUAAAAGAUCAUGGCAUAGCAUCCAUCCGCAUUAUUUAUAAGUAUGUAUGUAUUUUCGUAUAAAAAAAAAAAACUAGUUUGCUUACUGAGUUUUGUACUCAUUAUAGUUUAUUGUGAUUCAGUUUUCAGAAGUCAGGAAUGAUUCAUAAUGAAUGAUAAGGUAGACUUGAAUUGAGGAUGAUAGAUGGUUUAGCUAAAUUUUCAAAUUAUUCCGCUGCCUAUUAUAUUGGAGGUUUGAAUUAUUUUGGUUAUUUAAAUUCAUAUGUUAGUGUGGUCAAAUUUGCCCUCGGAGUUCGGGCUAGGGUAUUACAGGUGGUGUUAUGCUUUUGUGGAAACUUGAGCAUCCUUCUACCUUGUGAAUUCUAGUUAAGCAUAGGUUUCCUAGUACAGGUUGAAAGCAUUGAUCAGCUUCCACUUUUGUUUCUUUUAAGAAUUAAGAAUUUCAAUUAUCUGUUGGUGUGUUGUGUAGUGUUACCAACCUCCUAUUUGCAAAUCGCUUGCUCUGUUGCCGUGUAUUUUGGGCAAUCUUUCAAAUGCAACGUCAAUGAAACGAUGCAAAUGGAUACCUCUAGAAACAGAUUCACUUUAUACAAACAGUUCCUGAGCUAUAGACUUAGACAACCUUUCAGGUUGCUAUCAAGUCUGAGUCGUUUCUAUUCAAAAACCAUUAAUGAUUUUUUUUUCUUUUCGUGUUUUAAAAUCUCUCCUACUUCAUUUUCAAUUUCUAGUCAGCAAUCCGCCCUAUUUAAGUCACUGGACUUGUCAUGGCAGUCGCGAUUUCGUAUCAACUGACGUACAACUACCAGCCUAUGUGAUAGCCUAUGUGAAUAGAUUACGUAUUAAAUAUUUUAAGAGCACACCUGCUCCACACACGUUAGUGGGAGAGAUAGCUAACCCAACUCAAAGUCAAAAUUUGGGCGCGGCGCUGAGGGUUGGGGAAUUAAUGCUUGGACUCGAACCAAUUCCAUUGGUAAAUUUCCACGGUAUUUGUAAGGGAGAUAUUUAGCCCUGCCAAAAUAAAUUUACUAUAUGGCACAGCAAAAUUUCUACCCUAUUAGUAAAAGAAGCUGCCACUUUAGAAAAAUUUUCCUCACUUCUCCAUGACCUCGAAAUAAAUAACUUCGUAGUCCAGAAUGACUGAUUUAAUCAAGCACAGCAAAGUACUGAGAGCCGAGUGUUUAUACAUAAUUAUCUUUGAUUAUGUGUAUUUUAUUAAAUUAUUUAUACAGAGUGUUUAGAAAAUUUUGACUCUUUAUUAUUCAAUAUAUUUACAUGGAAUGCUUAAAUAUCAUACUAUUAAAUAGAAAAAGAACUUAUACAAGAUUAAUUUUAUUUGGGCUUAAUUAUUAUAUCCAUGAGAUGACAUAGAUUGAUUUCGAGUUGUCGCUCUAAAAUUGGGGAUUAAUUAAUAAUUAGGCAAUUACUAAUUGAAUAGUGAUAGAUUCUGAAACCUUGGUAAUUUUUGUCUUAUUGAAUUCUCAUUUGCUUUAAUUGUUUUAUUAAUUUAAUUAGUUUCAUUCCUCUUAAAAAACUCAAUUUGCCCAACUAGGUUAGAAUUAAUAUUAAUUUUAGAUUUAAAUUAGACUUUUCAGUUUAUAACAAUUCAUGUGGGUUCGACCUCGUUACCAUUACUCUAUUUUUAAAUUUGUGCGCUUGCAAGUAAAUUAAAAUUUUUCACAGAUUUGUUGCCCGUGUAUAGAACUAAAAUUAGCUUAACAAUGGCAUGUGACAUCAGUUCCUCCUUUUAUUUUGAUUGUCAUUGCUCAAAUUGUCAUUAUAAAUUGCCCCAGAAUUUUUAUAAGUAUGGCCUCUUUAACUUCUCACAAAUUGAGAGCAGAAUGUAUGUGCCUCAUUUUUGGUCUAAUGUGCCUGAAUCUUGAACAGAGAAUAGAGGUUGAAUAGAUAUUUUGGCUAAGUGGAUAUUUUCUUGAACAGGGGACUUUAUUAAUGCAAGAGAACAGUGUGCUAAUGCUUUUCAAAGAUAAAUUCAGUUUCCGCGUACAUUCGAGAUUCCAAGGUGAAUGUCCCUUUUCCUUUACAAACUUGUGAAGCUUUCAAACAAUCAAUUUUUCUUACAUUGUAUAUUUGGAAGAAUUAGAACAAGGGAGCAAAAGAUUCUCAUGCUGAUAGUUCCCAUUCUCCAUAAUUGAUUGUAGCGCGUGUUUUAAAGCAUAUCUAGCAUUAAUGAAUGAAGUAGAAAUUUCAGGAAGCCAAGAAACUUUGUGAGCACUGAUUGCCUCUAGAUUGUACAUUCAAUUGAUCUCGUCUUGGUUGAAGUAGAUGAUAGUAAAUAGUAUCUGAGUUUCAUUUCAGAUUCCAAAAACAAUCCUCCAUGUGAAUGGUUAAGUAGAGAUUCACGUUGUUUUCUUUUUCUUUAGAGGAAUGGCUGACUCCUUUGAUCAUGAAAUUAUAUCACGGCUAUCACAAAAACUCAAGUAAUUCUAUUCAUAUAAUCAAAAUAGAGUUGAGUUCGAGCUCCUUCAUUUUAACUAAUUUAUUAUGAUGCAUAACCACAAAUGAUGAGAUGAUGUUGGAUAUGAUAAUGGGAAUUAGUUGUCAACGAGAAAAUUAAUUUCGCAAGAAUACAGUUAGUCGCAGAACUCUCCUAGUCCUUGGAAGUAAUUUAAAGGACAGGUGCAUCAAUUUGUUUGUGUAGCUUACUGUAUGGUUAGAGAGUGUUGUGUUUUCAAAAGAAUUCAAAUGCGUUACAAAACGGUGCCAUCAAACAAGUUUUUCAUUUUUUUCUUUUUAAAAAAACAAAAGACACCAUGAUUAUAUAGUUUCUCAUUUCUUCUUAUUUUUGGCUGUAAUGCAACAAUAAAUAUUGAUUAAGCAAAUUAGUUUUCAGGAAUACUUGAAGGAUACAUUACACAAGAUAUAAAGAGGAGAUUAAACAAUCCUCCAUGCUGGCUUAGUAAUGACUGUGGUGCAAUUUUGCAAAAGAUUAUAUGCCCGAUAAAAAGAGAGCAUCUGUGGUCAAGUGUGCGCCACACAUAUUAUCGAGUGCGAUAGCGCGUGGGAUGAGCUUUCUUAAGAGGGCGCUGGGCACCACAGCAAAGCUUCCCCAAUGAAAGCUCGCCACUCAUUAAGCUACUCCAGAUAUACACGGCUGCAAAAAUAAACAAAUCAACUUGCAAUAAAAUAAAUAUUAAAAUAAACUGAAAAAAGCUCAAAUGCCGACAAAUUCCACUUUGCUUCAAAAUUAACUUUAUAGUAAGUAUGAAGAAUAAAAUAUAAACAAUCAACUUCCAAGUUGAAAAUUCUGCAUUCUUAAACCAAUGUUCAAACAGUGUAUGCUGAAGCAUCGAUCUGCUUUGUAAAUUAGACCUGCUGGCGUGAUAUGGCGGAGGCUGCGGUGAACUUUGCUAUAGAGACCUUGGGUCCUUUGCUUGUCGAAGAAAUCAGAUUGUGGGGAGGUGUUAGAAAAGAAGUUCAAAGCAUCAAAAGCGAACUGGACAGUCUCAGAUCUUUCCUCAAAGACGCGGAUGCAAGGGCAGCAGUCGAAGAAUUAGAAGGAGGCGGUGAGGAAAGUGUCAGAACUUGGGUGAAACAACUGAGGGAUGAAGCUUAUCGCAUUGAAGAUGUGAUCGACGGGUACACACUCAUGGUGGCAAAACUCCCUCAUGGGAGUGGCCUCGUUGGUGUUCUCCAUAGAAUCAGUCGUUUCAUAAAGAAGCUGAAGCUGCGGCGUGGAGUUGCUACUGAGAUUCAAGAUAUCAAAUCAGCGCUUGCUGAUAUAAAGGGAAGGGGAGAAAGAUAUCGAUUCAGAUCUAUUGAUGAACCAUCGAGCAGUGGAACCAGAAAUGUUAUCCCACAUGACUCUCGAGUUCGUUCCUUUUUCGUUGAAGAUGAUGAAGUUGUGGGCAUCGAAUCCAUUAAAGAUAAAUUGAUUGAUUUGAUGGGGAACGGAAGAUCCGAACGUUUAGUGGUUGCUGUGGUGGGUGAAGGAGGACUAGGCAAGACCACUCUUGCCGGGAAAACUUUUAACAAUGAAGGUUUAAAAGCUCACUUCAGUUGCCGGGCUUGGGUCACCGUUGGGAAAGAAUACAAAAAAAAAGAUUUGUUGAGGACAAUUCUAAAGGAGUUUCAUCGUGUAACAAACGAGCCUGCUUCAGUGGAGACACACGACAUGGAAGAGAUGGAGCUGAUCACCGCGCUGAGGGACCACCUGAAGGACAAGAGUUACAUGGUUGUGUUCGACGAUGUUUGGAAGAUUGAUUUCUGGGGAGACGUGGAGGAUGCUUUACUUGAUAACAAGAAAAGCAGCAGGAUAAUUGUCACAACACGGCACAUGAAUGUCGCUAAGUUUUGCAAAUCAUCUUCCCCUGUUCAUGUCCAUGAGCUUGAAACUUUGCAUCCGAAUGAAGCGUGGAAACUUUUUUGUAGAAAGGCGUUCGGACCAAGCUCCGGAGGCUCUUGUCCUUCAGAGUUGAGGGAGUUGUCCCAGGACAUCCUUGCAAAAUGUGGAGGUUUGCCUCUUGCUAUUGUGGCCGUAGGUGGACUUCUUUUAACCAAGAACAGGGUUGUAUCUGAGUGUAAGAAAUUGUUUGAUAGGUUGGGCUCAAUGUUAGGAAGCGAUCCCCAUCUAAAAGAUUGCAACCGAGUUUUAUCUGAAGGGUAUUAUGAUCUUCCUCACCAUCUCAAAUCAUGUCUUCUGUACUUUGGCUUAUUUCCAGAGAGCUGCAAAAUUAACUGUGCUAGACUUAUCCGUUUGUGGAUAGCUGAGGGCUUUGUCCAGUACAGCAAACGCACCACAUCUGAACAGGUUGCAGAAGAAUACUUGAAUGAGCUCGUUGACAGAAGCUUGGUUCAAGUUUCUGAGAGAGAUAUUUCUGGGCGAGCUAGUAUCUGCCAAGUUCAUGAUCUUAUGCACGAGAUCGUCAUCAGAAAAACUGAAGAAUUGGGCUUCGGUCGUGUGCUGAACGGAGUGGACUUGAGUCAUUGCAGUAAAACUCGACGCAUAACUAUACAGAGAAGUAUUGAUGAUGGUGCUUUAGAGAGCAUCAAGCACUCGAAGGUCCGUACUGUUUUUCUUUUCAAUAUAGAUAAGCUGCCCGACUCUUUCAUGAAAACAAGUAUUGCCAAUUUCAAGCUCAUGAAAGUACUAGAUCUGGAAGAUUCUCCAAUAGAUUACCUUCCUGAAGGAGUGGGAAACUUAUUCAAUUUACACUAUUUGAGUGUGAAAAAUACAGAAGUAAAAAUAAUUCCCAAGUCCAUUGGAAAUCUUCUCAGUUUAGAGAUUUUGGAUUUGAAAAACACUUUGGUGAGUGAACUUCCAGUAGAGAUCAGGAAUCUUAAAAAGUUGCGUUAUCUAAUGGUGUAUCAGUACAAUUAUACCUCAGGUUCUAGUAUAGCAGGAGCAGCAGUAGCCAAAGUACACCGGGGGCUUGGGUCGCUAACGGAUCUGCAGAAGUUGUCUAUUAUAGAAGCUGACUCUCAAGCGCUUGACGAGCUUAUGAAGCUAAGGCAGUUAAGAAAGUUGGGCAUUAGGCCCCAAAAUGGAAAUGGCAAGGAUGUGUGUGCUUUGAUUGCAAAUUUGGAAAACCUAGAGUCUUUAACAGUGUUAAUGGCAAGCAAAGAAGAAAUACUUGACUUGCAGUCUUUGAGUAGUCCUCCUCAAUAUCUGCAGCGUCUCUACUUGACGGGGAAUAUGAAGAAACUGCCGGAUUGGAUUAUUAAACUAAAAAAUGUAAUCAGAUUGGGUUUGGACUUGUCGGGAUUGACUGAGGAUCCAAUCAGAGUCCUUCACGCCUUGCCUAAUUUAUUGGAACUUAGACUCGGGGGGACAUACAACUACGAGCUUUUUCACUUUGAAGCAGGUUGGUUUCCAAAACUCCAAAAGUUGCUUCUCGGGGACUUCGUCGAGGUGAAAUCGGUUAUAAUAGAGAAAGGUGCGAUGCCUGAUAUUAGAGAACUGUGGAUUGGGCCUUGCCCGCUGUUGAUGGAGAUUCCUAUUGGAAUUGAACAUCUUAAAAACCUUAAGCAACUCAGAUUUGCUCGUAUGGUUAAACAAGUUUAUUACAUGACAAAAGGCGAGAACUGGGGAAGGUUACUGAGCAUAUACCAGAUGUCCUUGUCACUUUUGUGCAGGCCGGGCGACUGUUUUAUUAUCGAAAAGAGGAUCUCUCAUCUCUGUCUCCUGAAUAUGUCGAGCAAAUCUGCUGAAGAAGAGGACUCAAAUAGGGAGCAGUCAUGCGUAUUUGGAUUAUUUUCUAUUUACUUUUAAGAAAAAUUAUUUUUCUCAUUUUUAAUUUGACAGACAAUUUAAUUAUAUAUAAUUCAAAUAAAAAUUCACCAAGAAAAUUCCUUUUUCCCUGUAAUUUGAGUACGUUUAAUAAAUAAAUAAACAAAUGCAGUAGGUCAGGAAAUCUUUUUCUAGUCAAAUAUAUAGUUAGAAUCAUAUAAUGAUUAGGUAUUAAUGUUAGUAUAGUAAUUUCCGUUAUAUUUUUUGUUACCAUGAACAGAUGGAGUAUAUAUAUCUUGCUUCUAGCGAAUUCAAUGAUGAGUUCAUCGAACCUAUACUGGAUCAGAUUGUGGUGGUAAUGCUACAUUGAUAUGCUUUGAGUUUGAGUAAUUAUUAUCAGUGUUAUCGUGUAAUACAUGCAUAUGUGAGUGGAUGCUGCUGCGAGUGUGAGUGUAUUCUUCUAUAUAUUUAAGACUGAGAUUAUGAUUUUAGAAAUGUUGUAUUACUAUUGUAAGGAAUUGUCAUCAUAUAAUAUUCAGUGUUUAAUAAUAAAAACUGUGUGCCAAUGUGGUUACCAUUGGCAUGUGGUUAAUUUGUGUGGACUGAUGCAUUUGCCUUAAUUUUAAUCUGUAGCUUAUUGUUU
rnacentral:lncRNA from 1 species